rnacentral:rRNA from 1 species
CCUACGGGUGGCAGCAGUGAGGAAUAUUGGUCAAUGGGCGCGAGCCUGAACCAGCCAAGUCGCGUGAGGGAGGACGGCCCUACGGGUUGUAAACCUCUUUUGCCGGGGAGCAACGGGCGUCACGUGUGGCGUCACUGAGAGUACCCGGAGAAAAAGCAUCGGCUAACUCCGUGCCAGCAGCCGCGGUAAUACGGAGGAUGCGAGCGUUAUCCGGAUUUAUUGGGUUUAAAGGGUGCGUAGGCGGAUCGUUAAGUCAGUGGUCAAAUUGAGGGGCUCAACCCCGGCCGGCCGUUGAAACUGGUUUUCUAGAGUUGGAGAGAAGUAUGCGGAAUUCGUGGUGUAGCGGUGAAAUGCAUAGAUAUCACGAAGAACUCCGAUUGCGAAGGCAGCAUACCGGCUCCAUACUGACGCUGAGGCACGAAAGCGUGGGGAUCGAACAGGAUUAGAUACCCUGGUAGUC